CGCAGUCACGGAUAUCGGGUCUAGCAGUGCGCGUCUACGGCUCGGGUGUCCGACGACCGCGCGCGUGAAAAACGAUAUUCAUCUGGAACGCGCGUUUGCACAGUUGCCUCAUGGACGAGCCGAGGAGCGCCCAAGAGCGGAAGAACGGAAACGACUGUGAGGCCGAUAGGUGUCCGGUGUAUUUAUUUAUACGCCAAAAAAAAGACGACCCUCCAGGUCGAAACACAAUCAUUCGUCGCCCUCGGCUGUCGCGACCGAGUUGCUAUGGAAAUGCCGGAACGCUGGAAUUACAUCCCUUGUAGAUUCGGUACGUCCAACGCUCCCUGGUAGCGGAUCCGCAGCGACCGAGGGGUAGUGCAGCGCUGCGACGGGGUACAAAGUGAAUUCUAUGCGUACUAAGCACAGAAACUCUGUAAAAUUGACUCGCUAGAUGCCGCUGAAUAGCAACGCUAACCCAAGAGUAACGUGAAGUGUCCGUCGGUUCGUAUUUUUAAUUUCGUCCCGCGCAAGGAUUAAAAACGGUGUCCAAAUGAAGCGGUUUGGAUUACACGAAAACCAAAACAGUAUUAAUUUACAUAUGUUUUUAAAAGUCAUUCUUACUUAAUUAUUUUUUCAACAACGGUGUUGCUAUUCAUUUAGUUUCUUAACAAAGCGCCUACAAUCAAAUCAAAUGUGAACUAAUACCUAGCCGAAGUGUUCUGUUGAAGUAUUAAAUUAGUGUGUAAUGUUCGGUAAGGAAAUAUAUUUUUAUUUGAAAACCAAAUGAGAAAUAUAAAUAAAGUACGAGUU